CUACGGGGCGCAGCAGUGAGGAAUAUUGGGCAAUGGAGGCAACUCUGACCCAGCCAUGCCGCGUGCAGGAAGACGGCCCUCUGGGUUGUAAACUGCUUUUGUUUGGGAAUAAACCCUUCUACGUGUAGAAGGCUGAAGGUACCUUACGGAUAAGGAUCGGCUAACUCCGUGCCAGCAGCCGCGGUAAUACGGAGGAUCCAAGCGUUAUCCGGAUUUAUUGGGUUUAAAGGGUCCGUAGGCGGAUCUUUAAGUCAGUGGUGAAAGCCCACAGCUCAACUGUGGAACUGCCAUUGAUACUGGAGAUCUUGAGUGUAGUAGAAGUAGGCGGAAUAGGGCAUGUAGCGGUGAAAUGCAUAGAUAUGCCCUAGAACACCGAUUGCGAAGGCAGCUUACUAUGUUACAACUGACGCUGAGGGACGAAAGCGUGGGGAGCAAACAGGAUUAGAUACCCUUGUAGUC
rnacentral:rRNA from 1 species